CAUCUUAAAGAGGUUGCUCCUCCAAAAAGUGCACCCCGCUCGCCCCCUUCAAGCAAAUCCAGUGGAAAGGGCACAAAGAGACCCAGCCUCCUAGUCUCUCGUACCGGCAUCCAGCCGCCUGCUUAGGGACAGGAAGUCGGCCAUGCCGAGAAGGUCGUUCUGAAUGGAAGUGGAAGGACGGCCACAGAAACGGACAGGAAGUUGGCCCUCCCGGGGAGGUCGGUGUGUAAGACAGUGGAGGACUACUGCGCAUGUGUGACUGGAAGUUGGCAGGUCCUAGGAGUAGGUAACCCAAAACACUCGAAGAGCCACUUGGACCCAUUUACAACCGAAAACAUCUUUUAUGACUCAUGGACUUCUACUCCCAGAAUUCCUGAGUCAGCAUAGCUGGGCUAGCUAGCUCUCUCCUGCCCUUCCUGCUUCCUGCAGAGACGCAGCAAAAGGAGGAGUGCCAUCCAGUAAGCUUUUUAGCUCGUCGGAGAACACUGUGAGUCCACUCUCUUUUUUACACACACACACACACACACACAGAGAGAGAGAGAGAGAGAGAGAGAGAGAGAGAGAGAGAGAGAGAGAGAGAGAGAGGAGGGGGGAAGCACAAGUGCCUCUCUCUCUGUCUGCAGAGGAGGCUGGGAGCCGCAGGGGAAGGCUCAAAGAGCCAUAUGCGGCUCCAGAGCCGCAGGUUGCUGACUCCUAGGGGCACUCAGAGUACACCUUUGAUAAAGGAAUAUACAUAAUAAGCAAACACGUAUAAAACUGAGUUUAGUCAAAGCAGCAAAGUCUGCCCUCUUGUGGCCAGUGUGUGCUGUAACGUUUAGCAAAGAAGCCCUGAAGUGGCUUAUUUUUAUUCUUUCAUUUCCUUCCUUU